UACGUAGGUCCCGAGCGUUGUCCGGAUUUAUUGGGCGUAAAGCGAGCGCAGGUGGUUUAUUAAGUCUGGUGUAAAAGGCAGUGGCUCAACCAUUGUAUGCAUUGGAUACUGGUAGACUUGAGUGCAGGAGAGGAGAGUGGGAUUCCAUGUGUAGCGGUGAAAUGCGUAGAUAUAUGGAGGAACACCGGUGGCGAAAGCGGCUCUCUGGUCUGUAACUGACACUGAGGCUCGAAAGCGUGGGGAGCAAACAGG
rnacentral:rRNA from 1 species